CGUGCGGGUGCUUACCAUGCAGUCGGACGGAGGAAUUUAUUUCGGUAAAUUCUUAGUGGCGAACGGGUGAGUAACGCGUAGGCAACCUGCCCUUUGGAUGGGGACAACAUUCCGAAAGGAGUGCUAAUACCGAAUGUGAUCCAUUUCUCGCAUGAGAGAUGGAUGAAAGAUGGCCUCUAUUUAUAAGCUAUCGCCAAAGGAUGGGCCUGCGUCUGAUUAGUUAGUUGGUGGGGUAACGGCUCACCAAGACGAUGAUCAGUAGCCGGUCUGAGAGGAUGAACGGCCACAUUGGGACUGAGACACGGCCCAAACUCCUACGGGAGGCAGCAGUGGGGAAUCUUCCGCAAUGGACGAAAGUCUGACGGAGCAACGCCGCGUGAGUGAUGAAGGUUUUCGGACUGUAAAACUCUGUUGUCAGGGACGAAGGUGCGAUCUGCGAAUAGUUGAUCGUAUUGACGGUACCUGACGAGGAAGCCACGGCUAACUACGUGCCAGCAGCCGCGGUAAUACGUAGGUGGCAAGCGUUGUCCGGAAUUAUUGGGCGUAAAGAGCAUGUAGGUGGGCUUUUAAGUCCGAUGUGAAAAUGCGGGGCUCAACCCCGUAUGGCAUUGGAUACUGGAAGUCUUGAGUGCAGGAGAGGAAAGGGGAAUUCCCAGUGUAGCGGUGAAAUGCGUAGAUAUUGGGAGGAACACCAGUGGCGAAGGCGCCUUUCUGGACUGUGUCUGACACUGAGAUGCGAAAGCUAGGGUAGCAAACGGGAUUAGAUACCCCGGUAGUCCUAGCCGUAAACGAUGGGUACUAGGUGUAGGGGGUAUCGACC
rnacentral:rRNA from 1 species